UUUUACCUACGGGGCGCAGCAGUGGGGAAUAUUGCACAAUGGGCGAAAGCCUGAUGCAGCAACGCCGCGUGAGCGAUGAAGGCCUUCGGGUCGUAAAUCUCUGUCCUCAAGGAAGAUAAUGACGGUACUUGAGGAGGAAGCCCCGGCUAACUACGUGCCAGCAGCCGCGGUAAUACGUAGGGGGCUAGCGUUAUCCGGAAUUACUGGGCGCAAAGGGUGCGUAGGUGGUUUCUUAAGUCAGAGGUGAAAGGCUACGGCUCAACCGUAGUAAGCCUUUGACACUGGGAAACUUGAGUGCAGGAGGG
rnacentral:rRNA from 1 species